rnacentral:lncRNA from 1 species
AAGUACAAGAGAACUGGUGAAACAUUAUAUUUGAGGAAAGAAGUAAAGAAAUUACGACAAUCAGGAGCUUACUUAUUUAGAAGCAUAUUAAGCAAGAAGAUAAGCACCUGCAGCUACUGCACGGCGGUCGUUAAGAACAUAGUUGGUAAAAAGAAAUCCAAAUUUCCUGUCUACAUUCAGCAGCACCAAACCCAUGAAGGAUCAUCAUCUAAAAAAUGGAGAGCACUUGAAGGCCUACAGCCUGCAGCACUGCUGAGGAAGAAAACAGAGUGGUUUUUUUUUGUUUUUUUUGUUUUUUUUUUUAAUUACACAUACAAGGCUGAGGUCAUUCAUUACUCUAGAUAAUAUAUGCUGAUGGGUUUGCUUGUGCUAGUCUCUGCUUUGCAGAGGUGCAAAGACUGUCACUGUGCAGCUACUGCAAAUGCAUCACUUGUGGUGAGUCGAGAGAACGAGUUUCAUGUUUUUGCACCCAGAAGGUCUCAGCGUGUCACUGAAUUCAAAAUAAAUUCAUGACAUCAAGAAAAUCCAUCAGCAAUCACUGAUGAUGAUUUCUGAUUGAGAUACUUUCCUGUAGGAGAAGAAAUUUUGGCUGCACAGCCCUGUACAGCCAGCUAUCAGCUGUCCUCCUCCACUCCCAGGAGCCAACCAUUCUCUUAUUUUCUUCGUUUGGCAAGCAUACACAGAAUCACACACAGAAUCACACAGAAUUUCUAGGUUGGAAGAGACCUCAAGCAUGAGAGGAAACACAACAUAGAAUUAAAAGUACAUCAACACUUUAUACAAAUUUUGGACUCUUGAGAUGCUCAGUGGAUGUACCAAAUUCAGGUCUGUGCAGCUGUGCCAGAGCCACAGAUCUUGGCUGGAGCUCACACAUUGCAUGUCAGCAAUGGUGAUUGCAAGGGGGUUGCCUGCAUGUUUCAUAGUAAACUUCCCUUCACGGUACUGCGAAAGUGAGCAUGAAGGCCAACACAACAACAGAAGAUGACAGCAGGAAGCAGGAGAGAAAGGAAUAUCCCGCUGCUCUACAAGUUUUUACUGAAAAUUCACCAUUUCCAAUGGAAAAAUGGCUCAGCUACCUGGGGCAUGAUGAUUUCCUCUACAGCUAAGCAUGGGGAAGGAGAUCUGUUGAGAAGUUCUCCAGUUAUGCUGUUACUUAUUGUUUAUAGCUGUGAAGCAUGA